rnacentral:rRNA from 1 species
AACGAACGCUGGCGGCAUGCCUAACACAUGCAAGUCGAACGAUCCCUUCGGGGAUAGUGGCGCACGGGUGCGUAACGCUUGGGAACCUGCCCUUAGGUUCGGAAUAACUCAGAGAAAUUUGAGCUAAUACCGGAUAAUGUCUUCGGACCAAAGAUUUAUCGCCUUUGGAUGGGCCCGCGUUGGAUUAGCUAGUUGGUGGGGUAAAGGCCUACCAAGGCGACGAUCCAUAGCUGGUCUGAGAGGAUGAUCAGCCACACUGGGACUGAGACACGGCCCAGACUCCUACGGGAGGCAGCAGUGGGGAAUAUUGGACAAUGGGCGAAAGCCUGAUCCAGCAAUGCCGCGUGAGUGAUGAAGGCCUUAGGGUUGUAAAGCUCUUUUACCCGGGAUGAUAAUGACAGUACCGGGAGAAUAAGCCCCGGCUAACUCCGUG